GAUGAACGCUGGCGGCGUGCCUAAUACAUGCAAGUCGAGCGAACGGACGAGAAGCUUGCUUCUCUGAUGUUAGCGGCGGACGGGUGAGUAACACGUGGAUACCCUACCUAUAAGACUGGGAUAACUUCGGGACACCGGAGCUAAUACCGGAUAAUAUUUUGAACCGCAUGGUUCAAAAGUGAAAGACGGUCUUGCUGUCACUUAUAGAUGGAUCCGCGCUGCAUUAGCUAGUUGGUAAGGUAACGGCUUACCACGGCAACGAUGCAUAGCCGACCUGAGAGGGUGGUCGGCCACACUGGAACGGAGACGCGGUCCAGACGCCUACGGGAGGCAGCAGUAGGGAAUCUUACGCAAUGGGCGAAAGCCUGACGGAGCAACGCCGCGUGAGUGAUGAAGGUCUUCGGAUCGUAAAACUCUGUUAUUAGGGAAGAACAUAUGUGUAAGUAACUGUGCACAUCUUGACGGUACCUAAUCAGAAAGCCACGGCUAACUACGUG
rnacentral:rRNA from 1 species